UGUAAUACAUCACAAGUCCAAUAUAUUGAAAUUGGAUAUAUACUGAGAAAAUUAGAAUGGCUUCUGCACAAAAGCGACACGUACAUUCAUGAAGUGUAACAUUUUGUA
rfam:Octopus bimaculoides Scaffold44793_contig_289, whole genome shotgun sequence.